rnacentral:lncRNA from 1 species
UCCCCGAGCCCUGAGACCGUGAGACUGUGAGAACGUAGGAUUCCAUCUCAGGCUGUAGGAUUCAGAGCAAGUCCCUGACCUCUCUCAGCCUCAGGACCCGUUCGUGAGAUGAGAGGACACCCCUGCACCCUCCAGGGCAGCUGCAAGAGCAUAAGGGAAAUCGCAUGGAAAAAAGAUACUCCUUUCAACAAAUGGUGCUGAGUUCGAGACCAGCCUGGGCAACAUGGCGAAACCCCCAUCUCUACAAAAAAUACAACAAUUAGCCAGGCAUGGUGGUGGCGGU